rnacentral:rRNA from 1 species
UGAAAAUCAAAACUUUCAACAACGGAUCUCUUGGUUCCCGCAUCGAUGAAGAACGCAGCGAAACGCGAUAGUUAAUGUGAAUUGCAGAAUUCAGUGAAUCAUCGAGUCUUUGAACGCACAUUGCGCCCAUUGGUAUUCCUUUGGGCAUGUCUGUUU